UUGGAGUACCUACUUCUUCUAGGUGGAGAAUUAUGCGAGGGAUGUGAAUGCCAUGGAAGGCCUUACGCAAGUCAGUCAAGAAGCUCCCCAAGAUGGACCAGUUACAAAGUUGUUAUGCUUUGAAAAGCUGCAGUACUAGUACUCAAUUUCUGAAGAUGAUGAGCCUCCCAAGUCAUAUGUAAUGCAACGAAGUUAGUUUUUGUUGUUCUGUGUACUAUGGUUAAUUUCUUGUACUCCAUGUUGGAUUAUCCAAAGACUAGUAUUUGUUUUUUGGCA